rnacentral:rRNA from 1 species
UACGUAGGGCGCAAGCGUUAUCCGGAAUUAUUGGGCGUAAAGAGCUCGUAGGCGGUUUGUCGCGUCUGCCGUGGAAAGUCCGGGGCUCAACUCCGGAUCUGCGGUGGGUACGGGCAGACUAGAGUGAUGUAGGGGAGACUGGAAUUCCUGGUGUAGCGGUGAAAUGCGCAGAUAUCAGGAGGAACACCGAGUGGCGAAGGCAGGUCUCUGGGCAUUAACUGACGCUGAGGAAGCGAAAGCAUGGGGAGCGAACAGG